AUUGAACGCUGGCGGCAGGCCUAACACAUGCAAGUCGAGCGCGCGGCGGACGGGUGAGUAAUGUCUGGGACACCGCCUGAUGGAGGGGGAUAACUACUGGAAACGGUAUCUAAUACCGCAUACCAUCAGAUGUGCCCAUAUGGGAUUAGCUUGUGGGUGGGGUAAUGGCUCACCUAGGCGACGAUCCCUAGCUGGUCUGAGAGGAUGACCAGCCACACUGGAACUGAGACACGGUCCAGACUCCUACGUGAGGCAGCAGUGGGGAAUAUUGCACAAUGGGCGCAAGCCUGAUGCAGCCAUGCCGCGUGUAUGAAGAAGGCCUUCGGGUUGUAAAGUACUUUCAGCGAGGAGGCGUUACCCGCAGAAGAAGCACCGGCUAACUCCGUGCCAGCAGCCGCGGUAAUAC
rnacentral:rRNA from 1 species